AGACUGCAGCGUGUUGUGCGCUCUGCUGAGAAGGUGAUUGGCUGUCACUCUAAAAAGUAAUUAAUGGGAUCUUUAGUCAUUACUUACAUAUAUAUGUUGUUGUGAAAUGAAAAAUCAAGUUCAUAAAUACUGUUAGACUUCCUAAUUAAAAUUUUUAUUUUAUUGAGUUCGGGUGACACAUAAAUGAUGCCUCUUUACUCAAUAUAUAAUCGUGAUUUGUCUGAAUUUAAAAUCUUCUUUUAAUCAAAAAACAAUAUAAUUUUAAGUUCUGUCGAUGUAAAAUACAACUUGAUGACGUGUAAACAGCUCACAGUUCCCUUCUUCUACACAAGCGGACAUAUUCAACAGCACAUGUUCAAGGUUUAUCAAGAGCUGUGUUCAUCGCGAACGCAUGUCUUUAUCCUGUCUUCCUUCUCUCACCCCAACCAAUCACAGCAGAUGGCCCCGCCCCUCCCUGAGCCUGGUUCUGCUGGAGGUUUCUUCCUGUUAAAAGGGAGUUUUUCCUUCCCACUGUCGCCAAAGUGCUGCUCACAUGUCAUUGUUGGAGUUUCUCUUUUGUCUCUUUAUUAUCAUAAGGUUCUUACUCUACAAUAUAAAGUACCCGGAGGCAACUGUUGUUGUUUUUUCUGUAUAAAUAAAAGUGAACUGAGUUGAAUGUAAUUUGGUUGAACAGGAAAUUCACAUCAUGGAUCUGGAGCAGCUGUGUGAUGAUGUCAUGUCAACAUGGACCAAAACCUCUGAGGGAUGUUUCCAGAAACUUUUUAAAUUUGUGCCACAAAUGACUAAAGCAGAAGAGAGCUCAGACUCAGCUUCACUGUCAUUCAGCCAUUUGACAUGAUAUGAAUGAAAAACAGAUUCUCUGUCCAGGACCUGGGUCUGAGCGACCCAGGGUCCAUGAGCAUUUAUGACUCUUGUUAUAUGAUAUGUGUUUGUUUCUGCAUUGUGCUGCUGUUCCUGUGUCUAUGAUGUUGGAGACCUCACCUGCUCAACCGCCUGCCAUAACCACGCCACCAUCACUUUACCUACCUGUUGCUGCUGCAUCACCGUCCAAUCUACCCCCAGUGGCUGCUACACCACCAUCAUUUCCACUGCCUGCAGCUGCCACACCAGCACGGCCUGCGUGUCACAAACCACCUGCAGUGCUUCGCCAUGGGCCAUCGGAGCUCUUACGUGGCUGGACCUACUACAAGGCUGUCAUCAGAUCACUGGCCGGCCACCAGAACUGCUAUGCCACAGCUGCCAGACCUGUGGCAGGCCGCUCGAGCUGUUUUCCUGCCGUCACCGUCCAUCGGGCCAGCUGCCAAAACUGUGGCAGAACUGUGGUUGAUUUUUUCAGUUUUUUGGGGACUGUUUUGACAGCGCUGCUGGACGUGCGGUCGGACUUUGAAACCGUUGGGAUUAGGGGCUCUGUUUGCUAGAGGAUUUUGUUUUUGCACGGAGAGUGCGGAGACUCGGGAGCAGAGUACAGACACUUGGGAGAAGGCGCGACACGGGAGUCGUGGGAGCGCACUGGAGAUUUGUUGUGUGUUACAUUUACUUCACUGUAAAUCAACGCACUGUUUACUGCACAGAGUCCAGCAUUUAGGUCCUUUCUCCCCCACAGUCUGCCACACAGACCGUGACAUUCUCAGGUCUCAGUAUUGCAGCAUGCUACCAAACAACGAGUAAAACAUUACAAAUAACUACAAUUAAUAGAACAAGAAAUUCUCAAAAAUAAGUACUGAAAUAUGCAAAAACAUAAAUAACAAUCACAAAUAUAUAAUAUUUAAAUUUGGUUCUUCUUUAUUUUAAUGACUAUUUACAGAUUUUCACUGGAGGCAUCAAAACUAUGGAUGAACACAUGGAAUUAAACCCUCGGCCUUCUCUCAGCGAGCUUCAUGCUGUAGUCACCUGACAUGGUUUCACUUCACAGGUGUGUUAACUCCAAAGCUGGAAUCCUGGAAUUUCUUGCCUUCUGAAUCUGGUUGGGACUAGAAGUCAGGGUGGCACGCAGUAGUGCUGCACGAUAUUAGGAAACCCUGCGAUGUGCGAUAACUGCGAUCAAUAUUGCGAUAACGAUAUGACUUACGAUAAAAUAAAUAGCAAAACAAACAAAAAACCCCGAC
ensembl:lncRNA